rnacentral:rRNA from 1 species
GAUGAACGCUGGCGGCGUGCUUAACCCAUGCAAGUCGAACGGGAAACCUUUUAAUGAAGCUUCGGCAGAUUUAGCUGGUUUCUAGUGGCGGACGGGUGAGUAACGCGUGGGUAACCUGCCUUAUACAGGGGGAUAACAGUCAGAAAUGACUGCUAAUACCGCAUAAGCGCACAGGACCGCAUGGUCCGGUGUGAAAAACUCCGGUGGUAUAAGAUGGACCCGCGUUGGAUUAGCUUGUUGGUGGGGUAACGGCUCACCAAGGCGACGAUCCAUAGCCGGCCUGAGAGGGUGAACGGCCACAUUGGGACUGAGACACGGCCCAGACUCCUACGGGAGGCAGCAGUGGGGAAUAUUGCACAAUGGGGGAAACCCUGAUGCAGCGACGCCGCGUGAAGGAAGAAGUAUCUCGGUAUGUAAACUUCUAUCAGCAGGGAAGAUAGUGACGGUACCUGACUAAGAAGCCCCGGCUAACUACGUG